rnacentral:rRNA from 1 species
UGCAGAAUAAGCACCGGCUAACUCUGUGCCAGCAGCCGCGGUAAUACAGAGGGUGCGAGCGUUAAUCGGAAUUACUGGGCGUAAAGCGAGCGUAGGUGGCUUAAUAAGUCAGAUGUGAAAUCCCCGGGCUUAACCUGGGAACUGCAUCUGACCCCUCCUCGGCUAGAGUAGGUGAGAGGGAAGUAGAAUUCCAGGUGUAGCGGUGAAAUGCGUAGAGAUCUGGAGGAAUACCGAUGGCGAAGGCAGCUUCCUGGCAUCAUACUGACACUGAGGUUCGAAAGCGUGGGUAGCAAACAGGAUUAGAUACCCUGGUAGUCCACGCCGUAAACGAUGUCUACUAGUCGUUGGGUCCCUUGAGGACUUAGUGACGCAGCUAACGCAAUAAGUAGACCGCCUGGGGAGUACGGCCGCAAGGUUAAAACUCAAAUGAAUUGACGGGGGCCCGCACAAGCGGUGGAGCAUGUGGUUUAAUUCGAUGCAACGCGAAGAACCUUACCUGGUCUUGACAUACACAGAAUCUUGUAGAG